UACGUAGGGGGCAAGCGUUGUCCGGAAUCAUUGGGCGUAAAGAGCGUGUAGGCGGCCCUGUAAGUCCGUUGUGAAAGUCAAAGGCUCAACCUUUGAAAGCCGAUGGAUACUGCAGGGCUAGAGUCCGGAAGAGGCGAGUGGAAUUCCUGGUGUAGCGGUGGAAUGCGCAGAUAUCAGGAGGAACACCAAUAGCGAAGGCAGCUCGCUGGGACGGUACUGACGCUGAGACGCGAAAGCGUGGGGAGCGAACAGG
rnacentral:rRNA from 1 species